GUUGACCUCGGAUCAGGUAGGGAUACCCGCUGAACUUAAGCAUAUCAAUAAGCGGAGGAAAAGAAACCAACAGGGAUUGCCCUAGUAACGGCGAGUGAAGCGGCAACAGCUCAAAUUUGAAAUCUGGCGCAAGCCCGAGUUGUAAUUUGUAGAGGAUGCUUCUGGGUAGCGACCGAUCUAAGUUCCUUGGAACAGGACGUCAUAGAGGGUGAGAAUCCCGUAUGUGCCCGGCCCGCACCCUUUACGUAGCUCCUUCGACGAGUCGAGUUGUUUGGGAAUGCAGCUCUAAAUGGGAGGUAAAUUUCUUCUAAAGCUAAAUACCGGCCAGAGACCGAUAGCGCACAAGUAGAGUGAUCGAAAGAUGAAAAGUACUUUGGAAAGAGAGUUAAAAAGCACGUGAAAUUGUUGAAAGGGAAGCGCCUGCAACCAGACUUCGCGGCAGUGUUCCGCCGGUCUUCUGACCGGUUCAUUCUCUGUCGCGAGGCCAUCAUCGUCUGGGCCCGCCGGAUAAGACCUGAGGAAUGUGGCUCCCCCUCGGGGGAGUGUUAUAGCCUCUGGUGAUGCGGCGUGGCUCUCUCUUGGUUCGGGCAUCGGCAAGGAUGAUGGCGUAAUGGUUGUCGGCGGCCCGUCUUGAAACACGGACCAAGGAGUCUAACAUCUAUGCGAGUGUUCGGGUGUCAAACCCCUACGCGUAAUGAAAGUGAACGGAGGUGGGAACCGCAAGGUGCACCAUCGACCGAUCCUGAUGUCCUCGGAUGGAUUUGAGUAAGAGCAUAGCUGUUGGGACCCGAAAGAUGGUGAACUAUGCCUGAAUAGGGUGAAGCCAGAGGAAACUCUGGUGGAGGCUCGCAGCGGUUCUGACGUGCAAAUCGAUCGUCAAAUUUGGGUAUAGGGGCGAAAGACUAAUCGAACCAU
rnacentral:rRNA from 1 species